rnacentral:rRNA from 1 species
GACUAACACAUGCAAGUCGAACGAGGGCUUCGGCCCUAGUGGCGCACGGGUGAGUAACGCGUGGGAACCUGCCCUGUGGUACGGAAUAACUCCGGGAAACUGGAGCUAAUACCGUAUGCGUCCUGCGGGACAAAGAUUCAUCGCCAUGGGAUGGGCCCGCGUAGGAUUAGCUUGUUGGCGGGGUAACGGCCCACCAAGGCGACGAUCCUUAGCUGGUCUGAGAGGAUGAUCACCCACCCUGGGACUGACUCUUUGUACCAUCCUUUGUAGCACGUGUGUAGCCCAGGUCAUAAGGGGCAUGAUGAUUUGACGU